UUCUUCAAGUGCGGCCCUACUACAAACUCAACCUAAUCCUUCUUCCCCUUUCCCAUCUCCGACACCAUCCACGUCUACCACCAUCCCAACUCCAACCUCGCAUGGCAAUGCCAAUCUGAACUCUUCCAACUCGCCUGCUAAUAUGCCUGGGAUGCAACAUCAGACGACACAGACCCCAGAGACUGAUCCGACUGAUUCCCAGAGUUCGG
rnacentral:misc_RNA from 1 species